AACGAACGCUGGCGGCAUGCCUAACACAUGCAAGUCGAACGAGACCUUCGGGUCUAGUGGCGCACGGGUGCGUAACGCGUGGGAACAUGCACUUAGGUUCGGAAUAACUCCCCGAAAGGGGUGCUAAUACCGGAUAAUGUCUUCGGACCAAAGAUUUAUCGCCCUUGGAUGGGCCCGCGUUGGAUUCGCUAGUUGGUAGGGUAAAAGCCUACCAAGGCGACGAUCCAUAGCUGGUUUGUGAGGAUGAUCAGCCACACUAGGACUAGGACACGGCCCAGACUCCUACGCGAUGCAGCAGUGGGUAAUAGUGGACAAUCGGCGAAGUCCUGAUCCAGCAAGGCCGCUUGAGUUAUGAAGGCCUUAGGGUUGUAAAGCGCUUUUACCCGGGAUGAUAAUGACAGUACCGGGAGAAUAAGCUCCGGCUAACUCCGUG
rnacentral:rRNA from 1 species